UUGUGGAGGAGGACGCCGAAGGUGGGGCUAAUGACUGGGGUGAAGUCGUAACAAGGUAGCCGUACCGGAAGGUGCGGCUGGAUCACCUCCUAACAGGGAGACAACAAAAUGUUAAAUAUUAAUUUUGUCACCUUAGGUCGAUCGGUAUCUCACAUUUUUAAUUUAUUAAAAAUUUCAUUUUCUAAGUUUUUUCUAGGUCACACCCAUUAUUUUUCCUGGGCCAUUAGCUCAGGUGGUUAGAGCGCACCCCUGAUAAGGGUGAGGUCCCUGGUUCAAGUCCAGGAUGGCCCAUAUCUCUAUGUUGGGGGUAUAGCUCAGUUGGUAGAGCGCCUGCUUUGCAAGCAGGAUGUCAGUGGUUCGAGUCCGCUUACCUCCACUGAUUACCACCUCUUCCAUAAUUUAUAGAAGGGAAAAAUUUUUAGUUGUGAUCAAAUUCUGAACGAAUCUAGCUUCCUAAUAAUCUUAUUAAGAUGCUGGACUCAUUGAAUUAAUUUUCAUUGUUUUCAGAGAACCUUGACAACUGCAUAGAUUAUUUUUAAAGACAAUAAGCAUCAUUAAUGAUGCAGAUUUAUUAUUUGUGCGAAUGCAUUAAAUAACAAUUCUAUUAAGCUGAUGCUUCAAAAUUUUUGAAGUUAUUGGUCAAGCUACAA
rnacentral:misc_RNA from 1 species